CACAAACCCUCCUUUGUCUCUCUAAGUCGCUGCCGCCAGCCACCCACCGGAAAUCGCCCCACGGUGGCGGCGAUACUCCAAACCACCCCAAAGUUUCACCCCACAAUACCCAGCCCCUUCAUCACUAUCCCACUAUCAAUUUCCCAAAAAUCCCCACCCAUUUGCCUUAAUUUCAAAUCUGAGAUUCCAAAAGAAACAAAAACCCUAAUCUGUUGCCUCUUUCUGAUUUCAAUGAAUAUUAAGGCUCGAUUCGUGCCAAAAUUUAUGACAAUCGAUUGUUCUUAGUAAGAAUAAUUGAUUAGUAUCAUCUUUGGCCCAUUUCAAUGCAUUCCGGAUUCCAGUAGAGUCCUCGCUGAGUUUUCUUCCUGACCAAAAUUAGUAUAUUCUUACUUUUUUCUUUACUUUGUCUGUUCUUUCUUUUGGUUUCAAAUUAUCAGUUAGGUUUUAGUUUUUGUUUUGGAUUGUUCAAUCGAGUUUGUAUAAUACAGGAAAUUUAGGAUUAACUUGUCAAUCAUUUUGUUAAUUGAACCGGUUUAACAUUUUUUGUUUAUUCAAUAAAUUGUUUUGUUGAAUAGGACAGUUGGGAAUAUUAGUUAAGGGAACGUUUGGGGUUAGAAAUGUUUAGUUUAAGACUAUUGUUUGAAUUUGUGUGUUCUUGUGGUAGCUAUUUGUAAUUAAUAAAAGCUAAAGGGCUGAUGGGAUUUGAAAAUAAUGUAUAUUAGGCAUUAAAAAUAGAGUUUAGGUCAUUGAGGUGUUUGUUUGUAUUAAACAGAACUAAAAGGGUUUAAUUUGAAGUUAGGAAUGGACAAACCCUAGGUAAAAUAUCAGAAGGUUCUAGAUUUUGCACAGUUGCCCCCAUCCUUAGCAAGAAAAUGCUGAUAUUGGAUGAGAAAAAGGACAGAUAAUUGUACAAAAGAUGCUAUACUAUUAUGAAAUUUCAAAAUUAGGUCAGAAUAUUUCAUUUUUGAUGCCAUCUUUGGGAAUUCUAUAUAAAGAAAGUAUUCACUCAUACAUACACACAAGGAUCAGCCACUUUUUCAUCACAAAAAGGUUCUAAAAAAGCACACGAAUUAGAUUGGAAAAACCUAAAAAAGCACAAAAAGACUCAGCUACUAUCUCAUUGAUGGUUGGUUCUAUUUUCCUUUGAUUCUUUAGCAAAAACUUAGAAAAAAUCUUUCUUGAAAUUUUUGAUUUGAGUUUGGAUCCAGUUGAAGCUGCUAAUGCUGUUGUUUGGUUGUCAUUUCUCAUCCAUUCCUUGCUGAAGUCCUUAUUUUCAUUGUUCUUUGCUGUAUCCAGGUUAUCUUCAUGAGCCUUGAAGUGACAAAAAAUAGAAUUGUAGCCUUUUUCGUUUGGAAUAUGACUUCGGAUUCUUCUUUUUCUUUCUCUGUUGUUUGUUUUCUGUUGUUCUUCUUUUCUUGGACUAAAUUUCUUUUCUCAAAUUUUGAUUAAAUGUUGCUGACAUUGGUGUCCUACUCUAUAAUGUAUUCAAUGUUUAGGUGUUAAUGUUUAAACGAGUGUAAUUAUUUCAUGUAUGGCUUGAUAGUCUGAUGGGCUUAACAGUUGUAGUUCAUUGAGACUUUGAUAAAAUAUUGACUGUAUAGGGGUGUAUUCAGUUGAGUUAUCUCGAUGUUCAAUAUUGUAUACUAAUGAUAUGUUUAUGUUUAGGAUAAUGCAUGAAUGAGCUCAAUUUUGUUGUAUCGAUCUAUUGAUUUAGUGACAUGGAGUAUGCACUCCUAUUGAAUCAUGCCAUGCUUGUCUAGAGUCAGAAACUUCAUCAUGCUUUCUCAUGGUUAAACAUGCUUGAAUUUAGACUUUAAUGAGAUUUUGCCUCAAGCAUUCCAUGUUUCCUAUGUAGUUCAGCAAUGAUGAUUGAUGUUUGUUUGGCCGAAUUGUUGUUUCAUUGGUUAUUAUAGUUUGAGUCAUGUGGAUUGAAGUGUAUAGAGCUGACAUUGAAGUGGUCAGAUCUGUUCAUCUCAUGUGCCCAAGCUACGGGAUUGUCUGAACUAUCUUUAUGGAACUAAACACCCAUUUCUGAUUUCGUUUUAAAAUUAGUAAGCAUCAGAUAAAAUGGAACUUAGAGCAAAGACUUCAAAGUUAAUUAUUGUUGAUUGAUAUAGUGAUUGUAUAUGUAGUAGAUUAGUGAUGUAAAAUGUCCAAAGAGUAGUUGUCACAGUACGAUGAAUUCAUAACUGCACUAAAAAUGACCUAGUACUUCAAGUUUUAGGUUCUUAUUAAACAAUUGAGGCGUGUUUUGUUGUCACUGUACCUUUUCUGGUUCUUUGAUAAAGAACAACGAAUUAAAUCGUGCAUGAUGUUAGGUUGCACCUUAUUUGAAAAAGUGUGUUGCGCAGCAGUUAGACAUAAAAACUGAAUUUUAAUGAAUUCUUUUUCUCUUUAUUCAAGUGAAAGCUAUGUUACUUAUUAGACUAGAUUAGAUUCAAUUCUUGUGGCA
rnacentral:lncRNA from 1 species